rnacentral:rRNA from 1 species
UGGCGACCAUAGCGUUGCGGACCCACCUGAUUCCAUGCCGAACUCAGAAGUGAAACGCAGUAGCGCCGAUGGUAGUGUGGGGUUUCCCCAUGUGAGAGUAGGACAUCGCCAGGCU